UUAUCUCUAUUAUAGAUAUCGAUCUCGAAUAUGACAGCUGGUUUGAUUUACCACGAUAAUUGAUUUGCGAGCAACUUUCUGUAGUUUAGUGUGAAGAAUUGUUUUUAUGAGUGUUGGUACUACCUGAAAAGAAUGGUUAUUUGUGAAUAUGGAUGAGAAAAUGAAAAUGUUGACUGCAGACUCUUAUAUAUAAAAUGGUGAAUUGAGGAAAUAUAUUUGAAAUUAGAAUUGAUAUGGAAGGAAUGAAGAAUAAUUACGAAAUGAUGAAAUCUGUGGUCCUUGAUGCAUUAAUCCUUUCUGUUACAAAUGUAUGGUGGCAUUAGUAUUAACACCAUGUCUCUUAAUUUCUAUUCUGUAUAUAAAUAGUUGAUGGUUAAUUUAAUAGUAUAAUAAAGAUGCGUAAAGUAAUUUUUGAAAUACAUUAAAAAUGAAUGAGGAAAGAAUGAAGUAUAUUUACCAUACAAUGGCAAUUGUCUAAUUCUGUUCCCUUGUCAUUGAUGAUGUGUACAAAAAAAGAAUUCCUGUAGUCUCUAUUGAUGUCAUGUGAAAGAAGAUAUAUGGAGUGUAGGCUAAUGUUUAAAUUGGUGGAAAUGAAGAAAAAUAUAUAAGUAAUAAGACAUGAUGAAUAAAGAAUAUAUGUAUAUACCCUACAAUGAAAUUUGUAAUUCAUGGUAAUUGAUGUUCUAAUCCUUUAGCUAUAUUUGUAUGGUAGUCUUAAAAUGGUAUUAAUGAUUGUCACUUUGUAAUAUGUUAAGUUGUCCAGGAAAUGGUACAUGCAAGUCCAAUACUUACUGGUGACUGUUACCUUUUCCCUCUCUCUAGAGGUUUAUAUACCCAACACGUUUGAGUAUUUUAUAGUUAAACUUGUGUUAUAGCAGCUACAAUAAGCUAAACUACUUUCAAACCUCAAAUUCACUCUGUGUUUUUUUAAUAAUUGUUUUGUUGUUUCCAUAUUUUGUAAUGUGCAUGUGUAAAUGAUGCGGAGUCUGAUAAGUAGAUAAAUAUGGUUUGCUGUUGUGUACAGCUGUAUUCUCUAUUGAUAGUUUCAUUAUCAGAAGUCUAAAUGAGCACUUCCUUGUAAACAACAUUCUUUGUGGUGUGUUUGUCCUUUGAUACAUAUAUAUUUAAUCCUGGAAACCCUGUAGACACUCUAGAAAAGGCAACAUACAGUUGUCCAUGCAUAAAUCAGGCUUUGGUAAAUAUAAACCAAUUUUUUCAAAUGUU